CAGUGUAUGUGAGGCUGAGGCUGAACACAGUCAGAGGCAUGACUAACUGCAGGAACAGGUCACCCACACCCAGCCUGCACUGAUGGCUGCUUUGGGAUCGGGGGAGCUGAAGGAAGAGGAAAAGAGGGAAAAGGCCCAAGGGAGAUUUACAGAAAUCUCCACUGGAAGGACCUGCAGCGCAACCACUGUCCCAGGAGCCACGCAUCCAGAAUAGUCAGGCCACAUCCCGGUGCGGGGUGCAGGGCGCAGUGUGGAAUGCAGCACCUCUCAUCACGAAACAGAAUAAAUUCAGAUCUCGACAAACCUCUCAAGACCGCUCUCCAUCUCAGAAGGGAAACUCGGAAAGAAAGGUCUGUCCUGACAUUUCACAGCAAAUGGAGAGGAGUCCUUAUGCCCAUCAUUCUCCUUGGCAUCGUGGGGUCCCGCUGACUGCGCAGCACCUGCCGCCGACCAGCUUGCGGCCACCGGGAGGCUCCGGAGGGAGGCCCAGCUGGGGCACUUCUCACCUCCGUCUCAGGCGGCACAUCCGCUGGGUUUCAGCGCCGCCCGCACCGCCUCCCUCCGCAGGCCCAGAGCUUGCUGAGUGUAUCUCUCCGUGUGGCUCCAUUUCCCACCAGGCGGCUCUCCUUUGUCCCUGCGGUGCUAGGGAUUUGAGCAGCAACUUGGUGCUGAGGAGCCCUGGGUUGCCGGCGGUUCCCUGUUUGGUGUCUCAGUACCUUGGUAACCAGAUCCACGCCACAGCGACUCUGCCACCCGGCCUCUUCCCCUCCUCCUCCCUUCCUUCUCUCUUCCUCUUCUUCUUCCUCCUCUUCCCCUUCCUCUUCCCCUCUUCCCCUUUCUCCUCCUCCAUUUCCCUCUUCCUCUUCCUCCUCCUCCUCUUCCCCCUCCCCC